GCCUGCCCGGUGACCAUGUGUUCAACGGCCGCGGUAUUCUGACCGCGCGAAGGUAGCGUAAUCACUUGUCUUCUAAAUAAAGACUAGUAUGAACGGCCACACGAAGACUUGACUGUCUCCCCUGUCCAAUCAGUGAAACUGAUCUCCUUGUGCAGAAGCGAGGAUACACCCAUAAGACGAGAAGACCCUAUGGAGCUUCAAACUCAAUAUUAAUUACCUUAAAACCCCCUCUAAGGAGCCAACAAAUAAUUUUUUAAACUUAUAUUAGUUUUAGGUUGGGGCGACCAUGGAGAAAAAAAUAUCCUCCCUGAUGACUUUCUAACCAAGAGCCACAGCUCUAAGUAUUAAGACACUUAACUCCCAUUGACCCAUUUUAUGAUCAACGAACCAAGUUACCCUAGGGAUAACAGCGCAAUCCAUUUCAAGAGUCCCUAUCGACAAAUGGGUUUACGACCUCGAUGUUGGAUCAGGGCAUCCUAGUGGUGCAGCCGCUACUAACGGUUCGUUUGUUCAACGAUUAAAGCCCU
rnacentral:rRNA from 2 species